rnacentral:rRNA from 1 species
GACGAACGCUGGCGGCGUGCUUAACACAUGCAAGUCGAACGGAAAGGCCCUGCUUUUGUGGGGUGCUCGAGUGGCGAACGGGUGAGUAACACGUGAGUAACCUGCCCUUGACUUUGGGAUAACUUCAGGAAACUGGGGCUAAUACCGGAUAGGAGCUCCUGCUGCAUGGUGGGGGUUGGAAAGUUUCGGCGGUUGGGGAUGGACUCGCGGCUUAUCAGCUUGUUGGUGGGGUAGUGGCUUACCAAGGCUUUGACGGGUAGCCGGCCUGAGGGGGUGACCGGCCACAUUGGGACUGAGAUACGGCCCAGACUCCUACGGGAGGCAGCAGUGGGGAAUAUUGCACAAUGGGCGGAAGCCGGAUGCAGCAACGCCGCGUGCGGGAUGACGGCCUUCGGGUUGUAAACCGCUUUCGCCUGUGACGAAGCGUGAGUGACGGUAAUGGGUAAAGAAGCACCGGCUAACUACGUG